UACGUAGGGUGCAAGCGUUGUCCGGAAUUAUUGGGCGUAAAGAGCUCGUAGGCGGUGUGUCACGUCGGCCGUGAAAACCUGCAGCUUAACUGUGGGCGUGCGGUCGAUACGGGCAUCACUGGAGUGCGGUAGGGGAGACUGGAAUUCCUGGUGUAGCGGUGAAAUGCGCAGAUAUCAGGAGGAACACCGGUGGCGAAGGCGGGUCUCUGGGCCGUAACUGACGCUGAGGAGCGAAAGCGUGGGGAGCGAACAGG
rnacentral:rRNA from 1 species